UACGUAGGUGACCAGCGUUGUCCGGAUUUACUGGGCGUAAAGAGCGCGCAGGCGGUCGUUCAAGUCGAGUGUGAAAGCCCCCGGCUCAACUGGGGAGGGUCACUCGAUACUGAUCGACUUGAAGGCGGGAGAGGGAAGCGGAAUUCCCGGUGUAGUGGUGAAAUGCGUAGAUAUCGGGAGGAACACCAGUGGCGAAGGCGACUACCUGGCCUGUUCUUGACGCUGAGGCGCGAAAGCUAGGGGAGCAAACGGG
rnacentral:rRNA from 1 species